CACCGCGGUUAUACGAGAGGCCCAAGUUGAAAGACACCGGCGUAAAGCGUGGUUAAAUUAAAAUAUAAACUAAAGUUAAACAUCUUCAAGACUGUGAUACGUACCCGAAGACAGGAAUCUCAACCACGAAAGUAACUUUAUAUAAACUGAACCCACGAAAGCUAUAGCA
rnacentral:rRNA from 1 species